UAUCUUGUUCCAAUGAUCAAAUUGACACCAAUAUUAUGACAGUGCGACAGUUACUUUAGUUGUUUUCUCGUUACUCUUAAAACUGAGACUCUUAUUGCGUCGUAAUAACUACAACCACCUCUCAUCUAAGGUUAGUAUCACAUAAUACAUCUUACUAAUUUUCGCUCUCUCUCUAUUUCUUCCCAUGAUUUAAAAUAGCUUGAUUGAAAAAAAUUCUGAUUUAAAAUAACAAUAUUUAAAAUUCUAAUAUUUAAAAUUACAAUAUGUAUGUAAAAAAAAAAGAAAGGAACCAAACAAACAAAAAACUAAACAAAAGGAUUGUCACCAUUAGAUGCAUCCAACCAAAUGAAGGACAAGCCAAUGAAGCCACCAAAUUAUUCAAUCACUGUUUAAAUUGUAUUUGAAAAUUCAUGUAAACUGGGCGGUUAGCUCAGGGCCUUAGGGCAGUUGGACUAAGUCCAAUGGAAAUGUAUAAAGCAUUAACCUCGGGGGUAGGUGUAAUAAAAUGUAACUUAAGGAGAAAGAUUAACUUUUUUCGCUCCUAAUAAUUUUUAAUUUAAUUAACUUUACUUGUGAAUUUAAAAUUAAAUUUUGUGUUAUUAUUGUUAAUCUCAUCACAAGGAUCAAGUUGAUACCAAAAUUAUGAUAGUUCAACAGUUACUUUAGUUGUUCUUGUUACUCUUAAAACUGAUGCUUUUAUUUAUUUAAUAACUUCAACCAUUUUAGUUUUCUUGUUAAACUUUUUUGGACCUGAUCUUGGCCUUCGUCUCAACCUACUGAUGCCUAUUUCAUAUUCAAAUUUAAACAAUCUCACUGUUCAAAAACCAAGCUGAUGAAUCCAAGACAACAAGACACUUACGAUUGGAGGACUGGUAUUUAAUGAAUGAAGAAAAUAUUGUAAACAAACUAAAGAUUUUCAAUGAAAUUGUAAAAAUACUACAAGCAAAAAUUGUAAGAACUGAGCGUUUAGCUCAGUGCCCACAAGGGCCACCCUCUCGGGUGCUAAAUGCCUAAUGAAUUACCUCCGACCUUGGGAGGAUAGUAAAUUGUAAUCAAUCAACAAUUGAAUGAAAAAUAUUUACAAUUAUACAAUUGAUACUUAUUUAGUAGUCAAUUAUAAUAAUCGUAAGUGAAAAUAUUUCAAGUUCAAUUUUUUAAUUUUCUAAAAACGAUUAACCAAUAAAACAAUUGGACCGAUUUAA